rnacentral:sRNA from 1 species
CACGCAGUUCCGGCACAUAGGCAGGCUGCUCAUGGUGCACGGGCGGAACAGCUACAAGAGGUCGGCGGCACUCGGCCAGUUUGUCAUGCACAGGGGCCUUAUCAUCUCCACCAUGCAGGUAUGCCACCAUAUACACCAUGUUCCCAGUGUUCUCCUUAGUGCUGGACCAGGACGUGAAGCCAGAGAUGGCGAUGCUCUACCCGGAGCUGUACAAGGACCUCACCAAGGGAAGAUCCUUGUCCUUCAAAACCUUCCUCAUCUGGGUUUUAAUCAGUAUUUACCAAGGCGGCAUCCUCAUGUAUGGGGCCCUGGUGCUCUUCGAGUCUGAGUUCGUCCACGUGGUGGCCAUCUCCUUCACCGCACUGAUCCUGACCGAGCUGCUGAUGGUGGCGCUGACCGUCCGCACGUGGCACUGGCUGAUGGUGGUGGCCGAGUUCCUCAGCUUAGGCUGCUACGUGUCCUCACUCGCUUUUCUCAAUGAAUAUUUUGGUAAGUUGCCUUGGAAUUGUUUUUUGAAUCGUUCUCUAUUCAUGAUUUUGAAGUAUUUUCUUAUUGUUGCUUCUGAAUACGUUGUGUUAAGUUGUG